AGAGUUUGAUCAUGGCUCAGAGCGAACGUUGGCGGCGUGGAUGAGGCAUGCAAGUCGAACGUGAAAGUCUCCUUCGGGAGAUGAGUAAAGUGGCGAAAGGGUGAGUAACACGUAAUCAACCUACCCUCGAGAUGGGGACAACCACUGGAAACGGUGGCUAAUACCCAAUACUGAUUCUUGAUCGCAUGAUCGAGAAUCCAAACGGAUGGGAUCCUUCGGGACCUUCUGCUUGAGGAGGGGAUUGCGGCCUAUCAGGUUGUUGGUGAGGUAGUAGCUCACCAAGCCUAUGACGGGUAGCCGGUCUGAGAGGAUGGUCGGUCACACUGGGACUGAGACACUGCCCAGACUCCUACGGGAGGCUGCAGUCGAGAAUCUUCCGCAAUGGGCGAAAGCCUGACGGAGCGACGCCGCGUGAAGGAUGAAUGCCCUCGGGUUGUAAACUUCUGUCAAGGUUCAAGGAAAGGGUAACGGUUAAUAGUCGUUAUCUUGACGUUAGGCCAAAAGGAAGCACCGGCUAACUCUGUGCCAGCAGCCGCGGUAAGACAGAGGGUGCAAACGUUGCUCGGAAUUACUGGGCUUAAAGCGCACGUAGGCGGUCAAGUAAGUGUCUUGUGAAAGCCCCCGGCUCAACCGGGGAACUGCAGGGCAUACUGCUUGGCUCGAGUUUGGGAGGGGAGAGUGGAACUCCUGGUGGAGCGGUGGAAUGCGUAGAUAUCAGGAGGAACGCCGAAGGUGAAGACAACUCUCUGGCCCAAUACUGACGCUGAGGUGCGAAAGCUAGGGGAGCGAACGGGAUUAGAUACCCCGGUAGUCCUAGCCCUAAACGAUGGGCACUAGCUAAGGGGGGUUCCUAUGCCUUUCUUUGGCGAAGCAAAAGUUUUAAGUGCCCCGCCUGGGGAGUACGGUCGCAAGGCUAAAACUCAAAGGAAUUGACGGGGGCUCACACAAGCGGUGGAGCAUGUGGUUUAAUUCGAAACAACGCGAAGAACCUUACCUGGGCCUGAAUGCUUGGAUGAAAGCUGUGAAAGCAGUGGACUGCCUUCGGGUGAAACUUGCACCGGUGUUGCAUGGCUGUCGUCAGCUCGUGUCGUGAGAUGUUGGGUUAAGUCCCGUAACGAGCGAAACCCCUAUUGUUAGUUGCCAGCGGGUUAUGCCGGGGACUCUAGCGAGACUGCCGUUGUCAAGACGGAGGAAGGUGGGGACGACGUCAAGUCAUCAUGGCCCUUUAUGCCCGGGGCUACAAACGUGCUACAAUGGUCAGGACAGAGGGAAGCGAGACCGCGAGGUGGAGCAAAUCCCAAAAACCUGAUCUCAGUUCGGAUUGCAGGCUGCAAUUCGCCUGCAUGAAGUUGGAAUCGCUAGUAAUCGUGGAUCAGCUACGCCACGGUGAAUAUGUUCCUGAGCCUUGUACACACCGCCCGUCAAGCCACGAAAGCUGGGAGCGCCCGUAGUCGCUAGUCUAACCCUCGGGAGGACGGCGCCGAAGGCGAGCUCGGUAAUCGGGACUAAGUCGUAACAAGGUA
rnacentral:rRNA from 1 species